rnacentral:ncRNA from 2 species
GGUCAUGAGUGUCAGCGCGAAGCCCCGGCUCGCUGACCGGCAACCCUCCUACCGCGGUGGGGUGCCCCGGGUGAGGACCUGGCCCUCCGCGACGUGCGGACGGGCAAGCGCGGGCC